GACGAACGCUGGCGGCGUGCUUAACACAUGCAAGUCGAACGGAAAGGCCCUGCUUUUGUGGGGUGCUCGAGGGGCAAACGGGUGAGAAACACGUGAGUAACCUGCCCUUGCUUUUGGGAUACCUUCAGGAAACUGGGGCUAAUACCGGAUAGGACCUCCUGCGGCUGGGUGGGGGUUGGAAAGUUUCGGCGGUUGGGGAUGGACUCGCGGCUUAUCAGCUUGUUGGUGGGGUAGUGGCUUACCAAGGCUUUGCCGGGUAGCCGGCCUGAGAGGGUGACCGGCAACAUUGGGACUGAGAUACGGCCCAGACUCCUACGGGAGGAAGCAGUGGGGAAUAUUGCACAAUGGGCGGAAGCCUGAUGCAGCAACGCCGCGUGCGGGAUGACGGCCUUCGGGUUGUAAACCGCUUUCGCCUGUGACGAAGCGUGAGUGACGGUAAUGGGUAAAGAAGCACCGGCUAACUACGUG
rnacentral:rRNA from 1 species